UCCAGUGUCCUUCAGGUGCCUUAAAUGCUCCUUAUAUCCAAGAGCACCUUGUGUAUCCUUGCUGGCUCUGGGAUUUUCAAGCUCUGGACACCAGCAAAAGCACCUGGAGAAUAACCCAGCGGACCUAUGGCUUCUCUGUCCCUUGAAGGCUUUAACUUUGGGAGCCUUUCACAAGAAUCUGUUAAGGCUCAUGUGAGGGUCAUGAGCUUGGUGUGGAAAGGAAUCAAAAGACAUCAAAGAAAUCUCUGAAAAAGUACCCCUGCCACCCUGUGUCCUUCGGCCAGAGCUGUCUGGCAGAAGAGAAGCCACCAGAAACUCCUAUCAAGAGCAGGAUGUGUGAUGUGCACCCCUGGUACCCAUCAGGGCUUGGCUGAGGAUACCUCCCUGCUUCUCUUCCUGCUCUCUCCUGCUUUCCCAUCUGUCCAGCUCAUCCAUUCUGACACAGUUUUUUCAUAAAACCCAGGAAAAUGAUGGCAACUGAUCCUGCUUUGCCAUCCARGGAGGCUUGGGAAUAAAACUCUGCUGCCUGAGCA